rnacentral:rRNA from 1 species
CUCGUAGGCGGUUUGUCGCGUCGGAAGUGAAAACACGGGGCUUAACUCUGUGCUUGCUUUCGAUACGGGCAGGCUAGAGGGAUGCAGGGGAGAACGGAAUUCCUGGUGUAGCGGCGAAAUGCGUAGAUAUCAGGAGGAACACCGGUGGCGAAGGCGGCUUUCUGGACAGAUACCGACGCUGAGGCACGAAAGCUAGGGGAGCAAACA